GAAACCGGAGCUAAUACCGGAUAAUAUUUUGAACCGCAUGGUUCAAAAGUGAAAGACGGUCUUGCUGUCACUUAUAGAUGGAUCCGCGCUGCAUUAGCUAGUUGGUAAGGUAACGGCUUACCAAGGCAACGACGCAUAGCCGACCUGAGAGGGUGAUCGGCCACACUGGAACUGAGACACGGUCCAG
rnacentral:rRNA from 1 species